rnacentral:rRNA from 1 species
UACGUAGGGGGCGAGCGUUGUCCGCAGUUACUGGGCGUAAAGCGCGCGUAGGCGGUCGAUUAAGUCUGGGGUGAAAGGUUCAGCGCUCAACGCGAACAGUGCCUUGGAUACUGGUUGACUUGAGUUGGGGAGGGGGAAGUGGAAUUCCGGGUGUAGCGGUGAAAUGCGUAGAUAUCCGGAGGAACACCGAUGGCGAAGGCAGCUUCCUGGCCCACAACUGACGCUGAGGUGCGAAAGCGUGGGGAGCGAACGGG